rnacentral:rRNA from 1 species
UACGUAGGGUGCAAGCGUUGUCCGGAAUUAUUGGGCGUAAAGAGCUCGUAGGCGGUCUGUCGCGUCUGCUGUGAAAACUCAGGGCUUAACCCUGAGCUUGCAGUGGGUACGGGCAGACUAGAGUGCGGUAGGGGAGACUGGAAUUCCUGGUGUAGCGGUGAAAUGCGCAGAUAUCAGGAAGAACACCUAUGGCGAAGGCAGCACUCUGGGACGGUACUGACGCUGAGACGCGAAAGCGUGGGGAGCGAACAGG